AUUCUCAGAGCGCUUAUCAUCCUACCAUCAUGCCAGAGAGUUCACGGGAGAAAGUGCAUGCCUUACGGUGGCUGAAACCAGCGAUGCCUCUGAGGAGGAGGAGGUGGGGCAGGUGGCCGAGCUGUAAGUGUCCCCUUUUCAAAGGAGGAAAGUGAAGGUCAGAGUGGUCCAGGGACUGCCUGGCCUGAGGUCGCACAGCUGGUAAGAGACAGGGCUGUGUGUGACCUGGAGUCUAACUGUGGGCUAAGUGUCCAAAUCUGGGACCCUGAGAGAUCUAGUGCAGUUCUGAAAGUCCACACAGCUAGAAGGCCAUGACCCUGGGCCAUGAGGCAUGGAGAAGGAAGACCCUUGAGACUGCGGUGGCCCGGAGAUUGAAAUAUGCUUAUAGAGGGAGAGCCGUUCCCGCAGCCCCAAAUCUAGGCAGAGAUGAGCCGGCACCUUUGAACAGCUUUAAGGCACCAAGAUGGCAGCUGGCAAUCUUUUUCUUUUCUUUUUUUUUUUUUUUUUGGCCCCCCUUUUUAGGGCCUCACCUGCAGCAUAUGGAAGUUCUCAGGCUAGGGGUCAAAUCAGAGCUGCAGCUGCCGGCCUACACCACAGCCAUAGCCACACCAGAUCCUUGAACCCACUGAGCGAGGCCAGGGAUUGAACCUGGGUCCUCAUGAAUGCUAGUUGGGUUCAUUACUGCUGAGGCACAACGGGAAAUCCCAAUUGACCUUUUAAGCCAUCUAAAUGGCAACGGAUUCUUUCAUGGGUGACAGAAUUUUCAAGCCAGGAAGUUAGUUUUGAGACCAUCUCAUCUAAUACUCUCACUUAGUCACUCACCUAACCUCUCAAAAUGCUGGUUUCGGAGUUCCCCUUGUGGCUCAGCAGGUUAAAACCCAGCAUAGUGUCCUUGAGGAUAUGGGUUCAAUCCUCAGUCGGUUAAGCAUCCAGUGUGGCUGCAAGCUGCGGUGUUGGUCGCAGAUGGGGCUCAGAUCCAGCAUCGCUGUGGCUGUGGCACAGGCCGUGGCUGCAGCUCCUCUUCGACCCCUAGUCCAGGAGUGUCCAUGUGCCACAGGUGUGGCUCUAAAAAGAAAAAAAAAAAAAAAUGCUGGCUUAGUGCCAGGCCCUAAAGAGACCAAAGCCUGGAGAGAGGAGGGGGCUGAUUCAAGGACCAGACCCGCUUCUUGGCUUCUGACCCCCAAGCCAACAUCCUCUCAUUCUGUUCCUCUGCUUCCCACGAUUAAAUCCCAAUGGCAGUUGUUUGCAUGCGGGUCUGAGCGUGAAAAGGAUGGAGGACUAGGUACCAAGAAGUGAUCAUUGCUGUCCUGGGCAUCGCAGUGGUGGAAGAGGCUGCAGAGAGAGGGCACAGGAAAAGGAGAAAGGAAGAGCUAUCCAUGAUCCAAGCCGCAUUUAUGAAAAAUUCAUCACACACAUACAUGAAAAUCACACACACACACACAAUUUGCCUUGUCAGGGAUGCCUGGAAGGAAACAACGGAAAAUUUCAGAUUUCCCUGCAGCACUGGGCCUCGUCCUGGAGACUCUGUGCCUGCCCUCAGGAGCUCCAGCCACCUCUGACCACAUUCUGCACAAGAGCCUUUAAUAACCACCUUGCCUGGCCCACCUGCUGGGUGCAAAGGCUGCCUGGGGCCCCAGGGCGAGCAAGCAGCCUUUAGCAGCUGUGAGGAGGGGCCCGCUGAAACGCUGCCUGUAACUGAUCAGAACAGAUUCUGGAUGCCCGGUGUUUCUAUCCAGGAGUCUGAGAGGAGCUGGAUGCAAACCAAUUCGGCCCUUUGGAGGGGCCGUCAAGGAUCCCCACCCCGGGUCUGGCUCGGCUUGAUCUUUCUGGGUUUUACUAACCUUUCCUGCCACUUGUUACCAGCAGCUGCCCAGCGUGCCAGGCACAGCUGCCUGACAGGUGGCAGAGCAGGCUGGGGCUGCAGGAGGUCUGUCUCUGUUCCUCUUGGCAUGCCUCCUGCUGGUCCCAUUAGCACUCUGCUCCAUCCACACGUGCCCCCACAGAGCCCCACAGGUCCUGUGUGGCCCCAUCUCUGUGCCCUUGCUUAUGGCUUUCCUCCCUGAGGUUGUGCCCUUCCACCUACCAAAGACCUAUCCUUCCUCCAAACUCCGGUCCAAAUGCUGCUUCUUCUGAGGAGUCUUCCAGGAUUCGGAGCUAAUCUCUUUCUUCUUCGGACAUUCUCUGACAUCGGUCCUUUCCGCCUUUAUUAAGUGAUAGUGGGACUUGUGCCAUUGCAUCACCAUUCCUCCAGGGCCAGCCCGAGACCUCAGGCUCCAUGUUCCUGGUAUGCAGCCGGUGGCAGGGGGCACACGGCAGGUUCUCAGUACAGACAGUGGUUGGAUUUAAUGGAAUUGAGGCAUCCUUGCCCCAGAAGUUCCCUCAUUCCCUCGACAUGAUACUUUGCAGUUAAUUAAAGGUCAGGGAGGACCCCUCCUGCAUUUUCUUGUUAGGAGCCCAGAAAGGGAAGCCCAGAAGCGGGACUAGUCUCCCGGAAUUUACCUGAAGCCCACGCAGCUUAGUCAGCCCUUUAGUGGGAAACUUUUUCCCCCCUUUUAGGGCGAAUCCGUGGCAUAUGGAAGUUCCCAGGCUAAGGGUUGAACUGGAGCUGCAGCUGCCAUCCUACACCGUAGCCACAGCAAUGCUGGAUCUGAACCCCAUCUGCCAACUAAGUGGCAGCUUACGAUAACGCUAGCUCCUUAAACCAAUGAUCGAGGCCAGGGAUCGAACCCGCAUCCUCAUGGACACUAUGUCAGAUUCUUAACUUGCUGAGCCACAGCGGGAAUUCCUAGUGGGAAACUCAUAUAUUCCAAAGGAAAGGGUUCCCAGGCUCAAGCUCCACGCAGCUGAGUGAGUUCAAGUUCAAUUCUUUUUCUUAAGAUCAAUCCAAGGAAAAAUUAAUGGUUAGGGAGUUGCCGUUGUGGCGCAGCGGAAACAAAUCCAACUAGGAACCAUGAGGUUGCAGGUUUGAUCCCUGGCCUCGCUCAGUGGGUUAAGGAUCCAGUGUUGCCGUGAGCUGUGGUAUAGGUGGCAGACGCAGCUCAGAUCUGGCGUUGCUGAGGCAGCUACAGCUCUGAAUAGACCCCUAGUCUGGUAACCUCCA
rnacentral:lncRNA from 1 species